GACAGAGGUGCCAAGCGUUAGGCGGAAUUAUUGGGCUUAAAGAGCGUGUAGGCGGCCGCUUAAGUCCUGCGUGAAAUCUCGGAGCUCAACUCCGAGCGGUCGUGGGAAACUGGGCGGCUAGAGUGCGGGAGAGGAGAGUGGAAUUCCUGGUGUAGCGGUGGAAUGCGCAGAUAUCGGGAAGAACACCCGUGGCGAAGGCGGCUCUCUGGGACGGUACUGACGCUGAGACGCGAAAGCGUGGGGAGCGAACAGG
rnacentral:rRNA from 1 species